rnacentral:ncRNA from 2 species
AUUUUGCACUCGAAUUAUGGUUCAAACUUCUGAAUUUUUCAAAAGUUUGAUUAAAAGGGAAUCAGGUGUGAAACCUGAGCUGUACCCGCAACUGUAAGCUAUUCAGCUUGUUAUUACUACUAAGUCACUGUCUCUUUAUUAACUACGAGAUGGGAAGACCAAUAACAAGACGCAAGCCAGGAAACCUGCCUAUUUCAAACGAAUAUC